rnacentral:lncRNA from 10 species
UGGCAGCCAAGGAGGUGGGCGGGGAGCAGCAGCAUCCGAGGAAUGUCUGCCAGCCACAGAACUUAACCUCGGGACCUGCAUGCAGUGGGUCCUGAAGACAGUUAAGGCUCAGAGUGGCAGCAACUAUGUGCUUCAGAGUGCAGGGACACAGGCUGUAGUGCACCUGCUGUCCCACAGCAGUCUUGGAAUUGUCCUCAACCAACCUCACCCCUCAGCCUCAUCUCACUUCCAGAAAGAAGGCUACAAAGAGACAAUGCAGGAAGGAAGGUCAUCUCUAGCUUGCAGCACCACUUGGAUUUGAAUGCAAAGGCAAAACCUGAGUGGGCAACACAAUUCUGUGCACCUGGUUUUAAAAUGAGAGGCCCUAUUUAGUCUAUCCUUUGGUGAUUGCUCCACAGGCCAAAGAACAGGAGGAAGACUGAGAAAGAACGUGAAGGCCAUCUCUUUCCCACAGGCCCUUCGCAGGAGGCUCCGGACUGCUCCCUGCACUGCGAGAUGCCUCUGUGAGCCGAGGAGCUGUAAAACACGCAGCGGGCGGCACAUGGGAUGCCGGAUGCCAAGCUGUGUGCAUGGGACAGACUGAGCAACCCAAAGGAGCCUGCUGUCCCAUCAAGCACGUGGCAGUCGGGGCAUCCCAUGGACAAUGGAACCGUGCAUUGUGAGUCCAUGUGAUGAACCAGCGCAUCAGGAGCACUGGGUCCUCCCUCACCCGUCAUCAGUCAUUCCUACUCACUCAUUCAUUCAUUUACAGUUAAUUCAAAUAUGUACCAAGCUCCAACUAGGUGGCAGGCACUGUACUAGGCAGGGGCAAGUAAGACAGGAAAGUCAUGUCCUCACAGAGCUUGGAAUCUGGUGGCAGAGACACACAAUUAAACAAGCAACUACAAGAAGGUGUGAUGUGUGUCAUGGCUGGCUUAGGUGGGGACUCGGCGGGGACUGGUAUCAGGGAGGGGAAGUUGAAGCUUAUUCCUAAAGGAAGCUUGGAGGUACCCAUGAAGGGACAGGUGGGAAAGGACAAGAGUCCAAGCAAAGGGAAUAAAGAGUAGGUGUAAAGUCCUGAAGGUAAGAAAGAACACAGAAAGCUUUGAGAACUUUAAGAAGUAACGGGAAGGCAGGGGUGGAGUCAGGGGAGAAAAG